rnacentral:lncRNA from 1 species
AACUUUGAAAUUCUCUCCCUCUCUCAGUCUCCGACCUAGCUCCGGUCGUCGGACCACCGCCGUCGCCGUCGCGCCGGCCACCGUACACGGUGGCCAGAAAUCGCCCCUAGGUAAAUUUUUUCUUCUUUUUUUUUAAUUUUUUAUUUGUUUUACUUAUUUAAUAUAUGUACAUUGUUUUAUUAAAGAUGGGGAUAAUAUAUGUAAAUAAAUUCGAAAAGAAAAAAAAUAAAAUAGACCUUAGAUUUGCUGUUUUCGGUUCUCCGGUCUCUGAUAUGGGGCUAUUCCCUGCUUUUGAUGUUGCUAAAGUCUCUGUUUUUACUUGAAAUCGAAUGUUGUUCGCUUUUAUUUUUUUUUAAAAAUGUCGAAUGUUUCAAUGGUUUUUGGAUUUGGCCUUUAAAUAGCCAUUACAUUUCCCUUUUUUAAUAUCUGUCUAUUCUCCUUUUUUUAAUGUUGUAGACGCAAGUGGGGCGGUGGCACAGUGGCGGUGCUUGCAGACGUCGGUGGUGGAUGGGGUGGGGAGCAGGUGCUGAACGGCUAGGGUUUCCUUAGCUCUUUUCUUUUGUUGUGUGUGUGGGCAUGGG